CCUACGGGGGGCAGCAGUGGGGGAUAUUGCACAAUGGGGGAAACCCUGAUGCAGCGACGCCGCGUGGGUGAAGAAGUAUUUCGGUAUGUAAAGCCCUAUCAGCAGGGAAGAAAGAAGACGGUACCUGACUAAGAAGCCCCGGCUAACUACGUGCCAGCAGCCGCGGUAAUACGUAGGGGGCGAGCGUUAUCCGGAUUCACUGGGUGUAAAGGGAGCGUAGACGGCCGUGCAAGCCAGGAGUGAAAGCCCGGGGCCCAACCCCGGGACUGCUCUUGGAACUGUGCGGCUGGAGUGCGGGAGGGGCAGGCGGAAUGCCUGGUGUAGCGGGGAAAUGCGUAGAGAUCAGGAGGAACACCGGCGGCGAAGGCGGCCUGCUGGACCGCGACUGACGUUGAGGCUCGAAAGCGUGGGGAGCGAACAGGAUUAGAUACCCCAGUAGUC
rnacentral:rRNA from 1 species